CCUACGGGAUGCAGCAGUGAGGAAUAUUGGUCAAUGGACGAGAGUCUGAACCAGCCAAGUAGCGUGAAGGAUGACUGCCCUAUGGGUUGUAAACUUCUUUUAUAUGGGAAUAAACUGUUCCACGUGUGGGUUUUUGUAUGUACCAUAUGAAUAAGGAUCGGCUAACUCCGUGCCAGCAGCCGCGGUAAUACGGAGGAUCCGAGCGUUAUCCGGAUUUAUUGGGUUUAAAGGGAACGUAGGUGGAUUGUUAAGUCAGUUGUGAAAGUUUGCGGCUCAACCGUAAAAUUGCAGUUGAUACUGGCAGUCUUGAGUACAGUAGAGGUGGGCGGAAUUCGUGGUGUAGCGGUGAAAUGCUUAGAUAUCACGAAGAACUCCGAUUGCGAAGGCAGCUCACUGGACUGCAACUGACACUGAGGCUCGAAAGUGUGGGUAUCAAACAGGAUUAGAUACCCUUGUAGUC
rnacentral:rRNA from 1 species